GAUGAAGAACGCAGCGAAAUGCGAUAAGUAAUGUGAAUUGCAGAAUUCAGUGAAUCAUCGAAUCUUUGAACGCACAUUGCGCCCCCUGGUAUUCCGGGGGGCAUGCCUGUCCGAGCGUCAUUACAACCCUCAAGCUCAGCUUGGUGUUGGGCCCCGCCGCCCCGGCGGGCCCUAAAGUCAGUGGCGGUGCCGUCCGGCUCCGAGCGUAGUAAUUCUUCUCGCUCUGGAGGUCCAGUCGUGUGCUCGCCAGCAACCCCCAAUUUUUUUCAGGUUGACCUCGGAUCAGGUAGGGAUACCCGCUGAACUUAAGCAUAUCAAUAAGCGGAGGA
rnacentral:misc_RNA from 1 species